rnacentral:rRNA from 1 species
UACGAAGGGGGCUAGCGUUGCUCGGAAUCACUGGGCGUAAAGCGCACGUAGGCGGCUUCUUAAGUCAGGGGUGAAAUCCUGGAGCUCAACUCCAGAACUGCCUUUGAUACUGAGAAGCUUGAGUCCGGGAGAGGUGAGUGGAACUGCGAGUGUAGAGGUGAAAUUCGUAGAUAUUCGCAAGAACACCAGUGGCGAAGGCGGCUCACUGGCCCGGUUCUGACGCUGAGGCGCGAAAGCGUGGGGAGCAAACAGG